UUGGAGGGCAAGUCUGGUGCCAGCAGCCGCGGUAAUUCCAGCUCCAAUAGCGUAUAUUAAAGUUGUUGCAGUUAAAAAGCUCGUAGUUGAAUUUCGGGGUCAGUAGGUCGGUCGUGCCACUGGUAUGAACUGGUUUUACUGAUUCCUCCCUCUUGAAGAACUGUAAUGCCAUUAAUUUGGCGUUGCAGGGAAUCAGGACUGUUACUUUGAAAAAAUUAGAGUGUUUAAAGCAGGCUUUAGCUUGAAUACAUUAGCAUGGAAUAAUGAAAUAGGACGUUUGAUCCUAUUUUGUUGGUUUCUAGGAUUGACGUAAUGAUUAAUAGGGAUAGUUGGGGGCAUUAGUAUUCAAUUGUCAGAGGUGAAAUUCUUGGAUUUAUUGAAGACUAACUACUGCGAAAGCAUUUGCCAAGGAUGUUUUCAUUAAUCAAGAACGAAAGUUAGGGGAUCGAAGACGAUCAGAUACCGUCGUAGUCUUAACCAUAAACUAUGCCGACUAGGGAUCGGAUGAUGUUAAUUUUUUAAUGACUCAUUCGGCGCCUUACGGGAAAC
rnacentral:rRNA from 1 species